GAUGAACGCUAGCGGGAGGCCUAACACAUGCAAGCCGAGCGGUAGAGUUUCUUCGGAAACUUGAGAGCGGCGCACGGGUGCGGAACACGUGUGCAACCUGCCUUUAUCUGGGGGAUAGCCUUUCGAAAGGAAGAUUAAUACCCCAUAAUAUAAUGAUUGGCAUCAAUUAUUAUUGAAAACUCCGGUGGAUAGAGAUGGGCACGCGCAAGAUUAGAUAGUUGGUGAGGUAACGGCUCACCAAGUCAAUGAUCUUUAGGGGGCCUGAGAGGGUGAUCCCCCACACUGGUACUGAGACACGGACCAGACUCCUACGGGAGGCAGCAGUGAGGAAUAUUGGACAAUGGGUUAGCGCCUGAUCCAGCCAUCCCGCGUGAAGGACGACGGCCCUAUGGGUUGUAAACUUCUUUUGUAUAGGGAUAAACCUACUCUCGUGAGAGUAGCUGAAGGUACUAUACGAAUAAGCACCGGCUAACUCCGUG
rnacentral:rRNA from 1 species